rnacentral:rRNA from 1 species
AUUGAACGCUGGCGGCAGGCCUAACACAUGCAAGUCGAGCGGAUGAAGGGAGCUUGCUCCUGGAUUCAGCGGCGCACGGGUGAGUAAUGCCUAGGAAUCUGCCUGGCAGUGGGGGGUAACGUCUGGAAACGGGCGCUAAUACCGCAUACGACCUGAGGGAGCUAGUGGGUGAUCUUCGGACCUCACGCUAUCAGAUGAGCCUAGGUCGGAUUAGCUAGUUGGUGGGGUAAAGGCCUACUAAGGCGACGAUCCGUAACUGGUCUGAGAGGAUGAUCAGUCACACUGGAACUGAGACACGGUCCAGACUCCUACGGGAGGCAGCAGUGUGGAAUAGUGGACAAUGGGCGAAAGCCUGAUCCAGCCAGGCCGCGUGUGUUAAGAAGGUCUUCGGAUUGUAAAGCACUCUAUGUGGGGAGGAAGGGCAGUAAGUUAAUACCUUGCUGUUUUGACGUUACCAACAGAAUAAGCACCGGCUAACUUCGUG